rnacentral:ncRNA from 1 species
GUGAGCCGUAUGAGGGAAAACCUCACGUACGGUUCUAGAGGCGGGUAAUGGAAAUGUAGCAAUAGCUGGCACGCCAU